rnacentral:pre_miRNA from 1 species
ACAGCUGUAAUUAGGUAGUUUUCGGUCCUGUCCACACAGAAAACUGCCUAAUUACAGUUAU